GUGCCAGCCGCCGCGGUAAUACGUAGGGGGCAAGCGUUGUCCGGAAUUAUUGGGCGUAAAGAGCGUGUAGGCGGCCCGACAAGUCCGCCGUGAAAGUCCAGGGCUCAACCCUGGAAUGCCGGUGGAAACUGUCGGGCUUGAGUUCGGAAGAGGCGAGUGGAAUUCCUGGUGUAGCGGUGAAAUGCGCAGAUAUCAGGAGGAACACCAAUGGCGAAGGCAGCUCGCUGGGACGACACUGACGCUGAGACGCGAAAGCGUGGGGAGCAAACAGGAUUAGAUACCCGGGUAGUCC
rnacentral:rRNA from 1 species